rnacentral:lncRNA from 1 species
UUAAGGAAUCAGUUCUAGUUUUAAUUCUUCUAGGUCAUUCCUGAAAUUCAAAUACUAGGGUACAAGAAGAUCGGUAUUUGCUGUCCACAACCUCCUAUCUCCAGAGACAGAUUCUCCCGGGGCAUAUGAUUGACUAAUCACCCUGAAACAAAAUUGUAAAAUAUUGCUAUUAGUAGUAGUAACAAAACAUACUUAAUAAGCUGACAAUUUUCCAAUUACUAUUAAAAGUACUUUACAUAUGUUACCACAUUUAAUCCUUACAAAAAUUAUACAUGGUAAAUGCUAUUAUUAUCUUCAUUUUCUGGAUGAGAAAGAUUAAGUAAUAUGCUGAAAAUCUCACAGAUAUAAAUAGGUCAAAAAUAUUAUAUAUAUAAAGUAUCUCUUCAUUGUUGGGGUAAUAGAUGUGAGAAUUCUUUUCAUUGUUGUUUGUUUUGCUUUCUUUUAUUUUGAAUAAAGCAGAGGUUUUACUGUAAGCCACACAACUGUCUGGGAAGAGGAGUAGCUGUUAGUACCUAUAUUUCCCAGGUCAUCAAGGGAGCAGGGGCACCAGAUUUUCAACCUGCAGACUCAGUGAGAAAACCAAGUUGAAAAGAAAACCGAAUUAACCUUAACUGAGUCCUUGUGGAUUGGUACCAGUUCUCUUCUCAUUAUAAGUACUUAGGAAGAUUGCAGUACCUCACUUUCCUCAACUUUAAUCAUGGUUGUAUGAUUUACUUUGGCCAGUAAAAACUGAGCAAAAAUGAUAUGUGUUGCUUCCAGUUAAAGCAUUCCUGAAACAGAAUAAAUUCCCCAUGUAUUCUUAUUCUUGCCACAAUAUCUUAUGUGAAUAUUCCAGGCUCAUGAAUGAAUGUGACAUGAAGCAGAGACUACUGACGAUCUGCAAUGGACAUAGUUACUUUAUCUUUCAAACAUACUAUUAAGCUUUACAUUUCUAAUUGUGAAACAAUGUUCAUUUGUUCUAUAAUACAUACGAAUAUACUUCUUCCUGUGUGUUUAUUCUAAAAUAAAUAAAUUAAUAAUCUUU